GCAUGCUUAUGGAAUACGCAUAUUCCACUUCGUUUUAUUGCUGUCGAAGAAAUCAAGUACUGCUUGAUUUGUAAAUGCUCUAUUACUUCCUUGUUUUACGCCUUAUUCAACCGUUAUACUACUACUAGUAUUUUCUACCCUCGGGUUUAUUGGCUACAUACGACUUGUUGCCAUGAGUCGAGAUCUCACCGACAACGCCGGUGAGGGAUGCAAUCCUCUAUGGCAGCUGGUGGCUGAGUCGUGUACACUACGAGUGUGAUUGCCGUUAUGAACACGUGCGAUCCGCCGACAAGCUUGCUAGGCGAAUUGCUGGCUACGACCGACGCGAGGGUGUGGGUGUCUCUGACAUCCGAGGCUGAGUGAAAUAUAAAGGGGCUCUGUGAAGGGAUCUGUUACGGUGAAUGCCCAGUGUUGUGCGGAGGGCAACGGCUUAUAUGCCCACGUCCGCGUUCAGUUGCCAACGAAUCUACCCUGUUUGUUUUUUACGUUGUUUGCGAGCCAUAACUAUGCAAAGGGCCUCUGGUGCUUUGGUCAGCCAUGAAAUGUGCAGGGGCGGUUGAUGUGGUCUAUUAUUAUCCAUCAUUAGCAAGAAUAGACACUUGGCCAGAGCUACCUUAAUUUCAUGUGGCUUUAAGGGGUUAUGAUCUGAUGUGUAUCUUUGCUGCGUAAACUGGAACAUUACACAGUAUGCAGUAUUGCUACGCCUAUCCGCAGCCAAAAACACAUUCAUUUGAGAGGAUAGUGGCUUGGA
rnacentral:sRNA from 1 species